AUUGAACGCUGGCGGCAGGCCUAACACAUGCAAGUCGAGCGGAUGAAGGGAGCUUGCUCCUGGAUUCAGCGGCGGACGGGUGAGUAAUGCCUAGGAAUCUGCCUGGUAGUGGGGGAUAACGUCUGGAAACGGGCGCUAAUACCGCAUACGUCCUGAGGGAGAAAGUGGGGGAUCUUCGGACCUUACGCUAUCAGAUGAGCCUAGGUCGGAUUAGCUAGUUGGUGGGGUAAAGGCUUACCAAGGCGACGAUCCGUAACUGGUCUGAGAGGAUGAUCAGUCACACUGGAACUGGGACACGGUCCAGACUCCUACGGGAGGCAGCAGUGGGGAAUAUUGGACAAUGGGCGAAAGCCUGAUCCAGCCAUGCCGCGUGUGUGAAGAAGGUCUUCGGAUUGUAAAGCACUUUAAGUUGGGAGGAAGGGCAGUAAGUUAAUACCUUGCUGUUUUGACGUUACCAACAGAAUAAGCACCGGCUAACUUCGUG
rnacentral:rRNA from 1 species